CCACGCGCCCGAGACACGGAGCUGUGUCCGGGAACCUGCGGCAGCAAACCCCGGCAACACGUGGAAGCUACGCCACAGCCGGGCUCCCAAGAGCCGCGUGCAGCCGGGGAGAGCGAAAACCCACGCCGCAUCCACCAGGAUCCCAGGACCUUUUAUGCAAAGCUGCAUUUUUCCAAUGAGUCUCCUACAUGGAUGGCUGUAAUGCUUGGUAUUUUGAUGCUUGGGUCAGCAUAAGAGCAAGAGUGGCCAGCCCACGCCGGUGCGCUGAACGUCAGAGCGCCCAGACCAUGCGGCACCCCGGUCCGGCCGAGAAGCAGCGCCUUUAGCCGGGCUCCUGAGCUGCCCCGGAUUGGGGAGAAGAACGCAAAGCAGCAAAAGCGUAUA